CCUACGGGGGGCAGCAGUGGGGAAUAUUGGACAAUGGGGGGAACCCUGAUCCAGCCAUGCCGCGUGUGUGAAGAAGGCCCUCGGGUUGUAAAGCACUUUCAGUGAGGAAGAACGCCUGGUGGUUAAUACCCAUCAGGAAAGACAUCACUCACAGAAGAAGCACCGGCUAACUCCGUGCCAGCAGCCGCGGUAAUACGGAGGGUGCGAGCGUUAAUCGGAAUUACUGGGCGUAAAGCGCGCGUAGGUGGCUUGAUAAGCCGGUUGUGAAAGCCCCGGGCUCAACCUGGGAACGGCAGCCGGAACUGGCAAGCUAGAGUGCAGGAGAGGAAGGUAGAAUUCCCGGUGUAGCGGUGAAAUGCGUAGAGAUCGGGAGGAAUACCAGUGGCGAAGGCGGCCUUCUGGACUGACACUGACACUGAGGUGCGAAAGCGUGGGUAGCAAACAGGAUUAGAUACCCGAGUAGUC
rnacentral:rRNA from 1 species